GACGAACGCUGGCGGCGUGCCUAAUACAUGCAAGUAGAACGCAGUUGCGAACGGGUGAGUAACGCGUAGGUAACUGCCUCAUAGCGGGGGAUAACUAUUGGAAACGAUAGCUAAUACCGCAUACUGUGAGAUGGACCUGCGUUGUAUUAGCCUGUUGGGGAGGUAAAGGCUCACCAAGGCGACGAUACAAUGCCGAACUGGGAGGGGGAAGGGCCCCAACGGGACUGGGAAACGGGCCAGACUCCUAACGGGAGCAGCAAGAGGGAAACUUCGGCAAUGGACGGAAGUCUGACCGAGCAACGGCGCGGGAGUGAAGGAGGUUUUCGGAUCGUAAAGCUCUGUUGAUAGAGGAGCGGUAACUAACCAGAAAGGGACGGCUAACUACGUGCCAGCAGCCGCGGUAAUUC
rnacentral:rRNA from 1 species